rnacentral:rRNA from 1 species
GUGGAUUAGAUACCCUGGUAGUCCACGCCCUAAACGAUGUCAACUAGGUGUUGGGUGGGUAAAACCAUUUAGUACCGUAGCUAACGCGUGAAGUUGACCGCCUGGGGAGUACGGCCGCAAGGUUAAAACUCAAAGGAAUUGACGGGGACCCGCACAAGCGGUGGAUGAUGUGGAUUAAUUCGAUGCAACGCGAAAAACCUUACCUACCCUUGACAUGUCCAGGAGCCUGAAGAGAUUUGGGUGUGCCCGAAAGGGAGCUGGAACACAGGUGCUGCACGGUCGUCGACAACU